rnacentral:rRNA from 1 species
CCAAUAGCGUAUAUUAAAGUUGUUGCAGUUAAAAAGCUCGUAGUUGAAUUUCGGGGUCAGUAGGUCGGUCGUGCCACAGGUAUGCACUGGUCUCACUGAUUCCUCCUUCCUGAUGAACCGUAAUGCCAUUAAUUUGGUGUUGCGGGGAGACUGGACUGUUACUUUGAAAAAAUUAGAGUGUUUAAAGCAGGCUAACGCUUGAAUACAUUAGCAUGGAAUAACGGAAUAGGACGUUCGAUCUUAUUUUGUUGGUUUCUAAGAUUGACGUAAUGAUUAAUAGGGAUAGUUGGGGGCAUUAGUAUUCAAUUGUCAGAGGUGAAAUUCUUGGAUUUAUUGAAGACUAACUACUGCGAAAGCAUUUGCCAAGGAUGUUUUCAUUAAUCAAGAACGAAAGUUAGGGGAUCGAAGACGAUCAGAUACCGUCGUAGUCUUAACCAUAAACUAUGCCGACUAGGGAUCGGAUGAUGUUAAUUUUUUAAUGACUCAUUCGGCGCCUUACG